CACCCCCAUUUCCAAGCCAAACACCGGGUCAGCCCUCAGUUCUUGGCCGGUGGAGGCAUCACCUCUCUCGGCUUGCGUUUUUACAAUGUCGCCUCCGGAGAAACAAGCCUGUCCACCGACUUACUGUCUUAAUACUCACCUUAAUACAGAGGAACAGCUCCAGUUCUCCACGUUUACCACUGUCUUUUAGAACAACUCACAAUAGUAAAUCCACGACUCGCGGCUUAUGCUCUGCAUUCCGGAGAGAUUUAUUUCAAAGAGCCGCUGCUCUCUCGGUCGUUCUCUAUAAUAACAGACUUGCAAUGAUUCCAUGUUAUCGGCUGCUUUGACGCUUAGGCUGGAUUUGCCUCACACUAGCCCAGGCUAUCCAUGUUAGCUGACUGUAUACGGACUUCAGCCUCAUACAGCCCCGGCUUCAGGCGAGAGCCAUUUAUUAUCCGUGCGUUUCCCUGAUCGAGCUGACGGGAAGGCAGCGACAGCAGCAGCAGCGGCAGCAGCAGCGUAAUAAAGAGACAUGGCUGGAAAACACAAACCCAGAUGCUGCGUGGAGGAAAAGAGGAAACCAGAUGAAUGAUGAUGAGUGAAUUUUAAGAGAAAAGUCAGACAGAAGGAAAGUGAUGUGUUGACAGCGUGGAGAAAUUGAAUUAGCAGCUGCAGCGCUGGGAACAUUGAAUCAUAUUAGGAGCGCAGCAGAGGAGCAGAGGCAACCUGCAGGCCGGAGGGAGAGGCUUUUUACCCCUCUGCUUUCAUUCAGUCGGAGGGAGAGCUCACCCAGCACGGAGGACAAGAUCAGAUCAGAAAUCCUUCAACAUGACAGAAAACAUUAUGACAUCCACGGAAUAUUCACAACUUCUCAUCAAGACUAGAAAGACAAAACCAUGGGGAAAAAAAAAGUCUUUAGUUUCGAUUUCAACAGUUGGCAUAGUUAUGUCAUAUUUUAGUGUUUGAUUAUUGUCAAAACCCCAGUAUAAUCAGUAUACUAACAUUUCUAAUUCUAAACGCCAAGACAUGAAUUUACCUAAAGUUAUGAAAAUAAUCAAGUUUUAACAAGUUUCAAAUCAGCCUGCGAUUAAAUAUGAUUGCAAAAUCGAAGAUAAUAUUUUUCUUUGAGAUCUAAUUAUUUGCGGCUUCAAGACGUAGUAAAAAUGAAUGAAACAUCUGCUAAUGUGUUCUUGUGCAGUAAUGUCACAUCAUUCCGACGUUGGUCAAGUAAGCGAGUUGAAUGGCUAGACAUGAGUGGAGUCAGACUUCAUCGCAAUGCAAAUAACCGCCCCCCCCUUUAAAUAGUCAACUGUCAUAAUGUCUUCUAUCAGAUUAUGUUGCACACUAUGCAUUCCUGUUUGCUAAUUUAAAAUGAAAGUGAGCCUAUGCAUGUAGUAGCCUUAACUGAGUUCAGGUAAGUUGAUCCGUGCUUCCUCUUCUGUGCAGGUAAGUGCUUUAUUAGGCCUUGUACAAUCACAUAAACCGUAAAACAGCACUGAGAAUGGACACUGAUUAAUGUGUUUCUAGAAGGAUAAAUAUGGAGGAUGAAACUGAAGCUGAUCCAGAAAAAAAAACCUGCUCUGUUGUUCCUGAUUCAAAUCAUAUCUCAUUCCAAUCUGACAGCAGCACGCUGCAGCUCUGAUCAGUGAGCACAUCUCCGGCUUUGUCUUGGACAUUUUACACUGCACAGGUCUUGACACACUGAUGGGCAGACGUGGUGGUGUUUAAGGAUCCAAUGUGCAGACGGUGUGAUGGUGGAACACGCAGGAAUCAUUCAAGGUCCCACACACAGUGAACAGUGAGUUGCCCAGGAAGCUAAUUACCUAAAGUGUCUGGUGUAGUUGAGCUGUGAUGUGAGGAGUCCAUGCAUUCUGGUCAUUGGCUCCUCUUUUCCAUGUUUCCUGCUUCUCUUUUUAUUUUAUUUUUUUUAAGAUUAUUUCUUGGGCUAUUUUUUAUUUCAUUAGAUAGUAGGGCCACAGGACCCAACCCUAAUCCAUAAACUCAGCCUACAUGGGGAGCAUGCUCUACCAGGUGAGCUACAGGUCGCCCCAGCAUGUCUAUCUCAUUCUUUUAUUUUUGCAAGUCAAAUGAUUUGGAUUUUUGAAUGAUUUUGUGAGGCGCUAUUUCCACAAAUUUCUCAAAAAUAGUUUCUAAAUCACCAUUGUUACCUAUAAAAAAAAUCGAAAAGAAAAAACAAUAAAUGUUAAUCCCCAUUGAAUCUUUUAUUUUAACAGCCACCUCUACAUCCAUCAGAAGACACUUCUUUAACUUCUAAAUCAACCAGGUGGUUUUUCCCAAAACCAUGUGUUCUCUCUCUGUGAAUACUACAAUUCUCUUUAUUUUGGCAAAUCUCUAAUAGUGAAUGAGUGAACAUUUAUGUAGAUAUUUGUAAGCUAUUAUAGCUAUUACUGUCUGCUCCUACAACCAACUGAUUUCCCCAUGUUGAGCAAUUUACUGUAAUAUAUAUACAAUAAAAUCCACAAGUAAUGGUACAAUUGCACCAUAUUCUGGAUUGUAAAAAAUGAAAUCAUAAUGAGACGCCUUUUUAAAUUACAUGAUUUCUGAUUACUGGCAUAAUUUUUAUUGGUAAAGCUAUACGUGGCAAAUGAAUCUAUAGUCCCAGGCUUCUCAGUGAGUUUGCACAGCCCAGUGUUGUCAGCAGUUAUAACAAAAUGUAAUUUGCUGUUGAAAAAUAGAACUGCUGUGAUGUUCCUGCUAAUUUGCAUUUGGAUGUUUUUACUUUAGCACCGCUGGUCUCAGCAGAAAGAAGAGUGGUCAUGCUGUGUAUGAGGGCCACUGAGAUCUCACAGUUUGGAUAAGAUUAGCAAGCAGCAUAAUUAUAUGCAUCAGCAUCAACUGUUGGCACUUGCUUUAAAAAACAACAAAUGAGCAUAUUCCCUUAGGUCCAAACGCAGGGGGAGGUAUUUCUGCUGGUUUCCUCUGAGAAAUGAAGCUAGCAGGAGGUCUGGCAAGUUCACAGACCUUUGAAAACUAAAGAUUGUUACCAACAAAUGUACCUGGUCAAGUGUAACAAUAACUUGUAUUAUAAGAAAACACCAGUCUUACUGUUCACUGGCAGGCUGCUGACCUGCUGUCACUUAACACAGCCAUGGUUACCAUGGAGCCCACCAUCUUUCAGCAGAGUAAAUGUGAACGGAGCCUGCUAUCAUUCAAUUUAGUGUAUGCUAAGCUGCUAGCAUCAGUAUUAGUGUAUGCUAAGCUGAUAGCUGAUGCUAUAAGUCAGAGUUGAGAUGUUUCCAGUUAAAAUACCCAACCUCUGGAUCCGUUCUUGUUAAUGCUAAUGUUUGGCAGUGGUGGAAUGUAACUAAGUAAUUUACUCAAGUACUGUACUUAAGUACAAAUU